rnacentral:rRNA from 1 species
UUCGUGCCUCAGUGUCAGUGUUGGUCCAGGUAGCUGCCUUCGCCAUGGAUGUUCCUCCCGAUCUCUACGCAUUUCACUGCUACACCGGGAAUUCCGCUACCCUCUACCACACUCUAGUUGUCCAGUUUCCACUGCAGUUCCCAGGUUGAGCCCAGGGCUUUCACAACAGACUUAAACAACCACCUACGCACGCUUUACGCCCAGUAAUUCCGAGUAACGCUUGCACCCUUCGUAUUACCGCGGCUGCUGGCACGAAGUUAGCCGGUGCUUAUUCUUUGGGUACCGUCAUCCCAACCAGGUAUUAGCCGGCUGGAUUUCUUUCCCAACAAAAGGGCUUUACAACCCGAAGGCCUUCUUCACCCACGCGGUAUGGCUGGAUCAGGCUUGCGCCCAUUGUCCAAUAUUCCCCACUGCUGCCUCCCGUAGGAGUCUGGACCGUGUCUCAGUUCCAGUGUGGCUGAUCAUCCUCUCAGACCAGCUACGGAUCGUCGCCUUGGUGGGCCUUUACCCCGCCAACUAGCUAAUCCGACAUCGGCUCAUUCAAUCGCGCAAGGCCCGAAGGUCCCCUGCUUUCACCCGUAGGUCGUAUGCGGUAUUAGCGUAAGUUUCCCUACGUUAUCCCCCACGAAAAAGUAGAUUCCGAUGUAUUCCUCACCCGUCCGCCACUCGCCACCCAUAAGAGCAAGCUCUUACUGUGCUGCCGUUCGACUUGCAUGUGUUAGGCCUACCGCCAGCGUUCACU